rnacentral:rRNA from 1 species
CCUACGGGAGGCUGCAGUGGGGAAUAUUGCACAAUGGGCGCAAGCCUGAUGCAGCCAUGCCGCGUGUGUGAAGAAGGCCUUCGGGUUGUAAAGCACUUUCAGCGGGGAGGAAGGCGUUAAGGUUAAUAACCUUGUCGAUUGACGUUACCCGCAGAAGAAGCACCGGCUAACUCCGUGCCAGCAGCCGCGGUAAUACGGAGGGUGCAAGCGUUAAUCGGAAUUACUGGGCGUAAAGCGCACGCAGGCGGUCUGUCAAGUCGGAUGUGAAAUCCCCGGGCUCAACCUGGGAACUGCAUUCGAAACUGGCAGGCUAGAGUCUUGUAGAGGGGGGUAGAAUUCCAGGUGUAGCGGUGAAAUGCGUAGAGAUCUGGAGGGAUACCGGUGGCGAAGGCGGCCCCCUGGACAAAGACUGACGCUCAGGUGCGAAAGCGUGGGGAGCAAACAGGAUUAGAUACCCGUGUAGUC